UCGACGAUGAAUCUUCUAGCUUGCUAGAAGUGGAUUAGUGGCGCACGGGUGAGUAAUGCAUAGGUUAUGUGCCCUUUAGUCUGGGAUAGCCACUGGAAACGGUGAUUAAUACUGGAUACUCCCUACGGGGGAAAGUUUUUCGCUAAAGGAUCAGCCUAUGUCCUAUCAGCUUGUUGGUGAGGUAAUGGCUCACCAAGGCUAUGACGGGUAUCCGGCCUGAGAGGGUGAUCGGACACACUGGAACUGAGACACGGUCCAGACUCCUACGGGAGGCAGCAGUAGGGAAUAUUGCUCAAUGGGGGAAACCCUGAAGCAGCAACGCCGCGUGGAGGAUGAAGGUUUUAGGAUUGUAAACUCCUUUUGUUAGAGAAGAUUAUGACGGUAUCUAACGAAUAAGCACCGGCUAACUCCGUGCCAGCAGCCGCGGUAAUACGGAGGGUGCAAGCGUUACUCGGAAUCACUGGGCGUAAAGAGUGCGUAGGCGGGGUAAUAAGUCAGAUGUGAAAUCCUGUAGCUUAACUACAGAACUGCAUUUGAAACUGUUACUCUGGAGUGUGGGAGAGGUAGGUGGAAUUCUUGGUGUAGGGGUAAAAUCCGUAGAGAUCAAGAGGAAUACUCAUUGCGAAGGCGACCUGCUGGAACAUUACUGACGCUGAUGCACGAAAGCGUGGGGAGCAAACAGGAUUAGAUACCCUGGUAGUCCACGCCCUAAACGAUGGAUGCUAGUUGUUGCCUUGCUUGUCAGGGCAGUAAUGCAGCUAACGCAUUAAGCAUCCCGCCUGGGGAGUACGGUCGCAAGAUUAAAACUCAAAGGAAUAGACGGGGACCCGCACAAGCGGUGGAGCAUGUGGUUUAAUUCGAAGAUACGCGAAGAACCUUACCUAGGCUUGACA
rnacentral:rRNA from 1 species